rnacentral:rRNA from 1 species
UACGUAGGGUGCGAGCGUUGCCCGGAUUUAUUGGGCGUAAAGGGCGCGUAGGCGGCCACGCACGUCCGUUGUGAAAUCGCUCGGCUCAACUGGGCGGGGUCAGCGGAUACGGAGUGGCUGGAGCAAGCUAGGGGGCAAUGGAAUUCCCGGUGUAGUGGUGGAAUGCGUAGAUAUCAGGAGGAACACCGAUGGCGAAGGCAGGUCUCUGGGCCACUACUGACGCUGAGAAGCGAAAGCAUGGGGAGCGAACAGG